ACAAAUAUUAUCUCUCUCAUUGUUCUCUCUCUCCGUUUCUUUUAAUUUUUUUUCUUCUCCUCACAAGAUAGCAAUUAGCAACUAUCAUUAUCCUAAAGUUUCAUGCUGGUCCUUCUCCAAGGAAUAAACAUGAAUUGUUCAACCAAUGUCAUGCAUCUUUACGUUAUGUUAUUGAAAGAACGUUUGGAGUUUGGAAGAAGAAGUGGAGGAUACUUUCUGAUUUUCCAAGAUAUAAUGUUCAAAUUCAGAAAAGAGUGGUAAUGACUACAGUGGGACUACAUAAUUUCAUCAGGAUUUCAAAUUUCUCAGAUGCAGAUUUCGCAGAUGUAAUGACUGAGACAAACAUCAACCAAAAUUUUGAGCAUGAUAUAGGUGAUAUGGAUGCAACAGAGAUAGCAAAUGGAGAAGCUAUGACGUAAAUAAGAGAUACUAUUGCAAAUAUGUUAUGGGAAAAUCAAAGUACUCGAUAAUUUUUUUUUAAAAAAUUGUAUCUUUUUAUAGUUGAACUUUUUAUCAAUAUGUCAAAAAAUAAAUUUUUACUUUUUGAUCGACAAUAGUAUUUAAAGUUCAUUAAUAUAAUUUUUUUUAUUA